rnacentral:rRNA from 1 species
AGUGAACGCUGGCGGUAGGCCUAACACAUGCAAGUCGAACGGCAGCACAGUAAGAGCUUGCUCUUACGGGUGGCGAGUGGCGGACGGGUGAGGAAUACAUCGGAAUCUACUUUUUCGUGGGGGAUAACGUAGGGAAACUUACGCUAAUACCGCAUACGACCUACGGGUGAAAGCAGGGGAUCUUCGGACCUUGCGCGAUUGAAUGAGCCGAUGUCGGAUUAGCUAGUUGGCGGGGUAAAGGCCCACCAAGGCGACGAUCCGUAGCUGGUCUGAGAGGAUGAUCAGCCACCAUGGAACUGAGGAACGGUCCAAGCUCCUGCGGGGGGCAGCAGUUGGGAAUAUUGGACGAAGGGGGCAAACCUUAACCAGCCAUUCCCCGGGGGGGAAGAAGGCCUUCGGGUUGUUAAGCCCUUUUGUUGGGAAAGAAAAGCAGCAGGUUAAUACCCCGCUGUUCUGACGGUACCCAAAGAAUAAGCACCGGCUAACUUCGUG